CAUCUUUGAAUAGAGAAUGAACGAGACCACAUGCAGACUCUUCUUUUCUUACAUAGUGAUUCGUCAAGGAAAUCUGACACAUGAUAACCCAACAGAUGAGUUCUGAAGGAGGUACUGGGAAGAAUCUGUAAUUUACAGAUCUUGUGGGAGGCCAUCCUGAGUGGAAAUCCAGAGAUGUUGUUUUACAGGGAAUUAUAAAUACCUAAAGACUGUGAAUCAGUAGCAAGUUCCCAGUGGCCAUACUGUAAUAAUAAGGAAGAGGAAACAUCGUCAACAAAGUACGGCGCUUUCCGUGUUUCAGUUUCUGCUGUGUGUUUGUCAUUUUGUAUAUUUCGUAGGAAACACCAGAGAUUUGGGACUUUUGACUCAGUAGACGGAGAUAAGCCAGAAUGCUCUUAGGCAUCGCCUCAUGCCCACCAUGUACUAAUGAACUUCUUGCGCUGGGCUGGGAGCAUAGCUCGAGAUGGAGCCAGGCACAAGCGAGGCCCUAGGUUCAGCCCUAUUAACUGACUAAUGAGCACUGCUAACACAGUUAACUUAUGUGUGAUGAAAAACGCUUCCCAAUUUCUUAGGCUUAGAACAGCCUUUUAGCACCCAAUUCAUGAUUAGAGUCAAAGCAAAUGAAAUGAGAUAAUGAAAUGAACCUCUGUGGCAUGGGAGGCAAAAGGUUUGUGAAUUCAAAUCAGUGCUAGCCCAGGCAGCUUAGCAAGAUCUGGGUUUCUUUAACUCUGGUCUGGGGAACAGUACAAGAUGCUUCUGUCAUGUGGUGGUGAGUGGCCCACCAGUGAAAGUGGACAGAAGUCGGUGCUGAAAGCAGAUUUCAGUUCACACAGACUGUUCUGUCCUGGCCCACUUGUGGAGUUGAAGACCUAUGUACUGUCACAUGCCCCAACGUGUGUGCGUGUGUGUGUGUGUGUGCGCGUGUGCAUGUGUGUGUGUGUGUGUGUGUGAGAGAGAGAGAGAGAGCGAGAGCGAGAGCGCUAACAGUGUUCUCACUAAUGCAUGGUAUGUCUCAGUUCCAUCUGGCAAUUGAGUUCUUCGAAAUGGUCAAGAAAAUGCUGCCUUAGCAGCCUGUUGUGUAUUUAUGUGUUGGAAUCUGUGCUUGUCAGUGUUUCCAGCUAGUCUUCACUGGCGCGGGAAGUAUUAGAGUGAUCUGAUAAGAAAUUCCAUAUUUUUAUUCUGUAAAUGAGAUUAAUCAAAACAUGUAUCAGAUUGUAUGAUAUACAUGCGUUGCUUCAAAUAGGAAACUUAAAGUGGGAAACCAGGGACCAGGAGUGGCAGUGCCCUCAGCAGCAGGAAGUGGGCAGCUCCCAGUGGAGUCCUCUUGGGGCCCUCAGAUGUAGAGAUGUUGCCCUCUUUGGUGGCUUUGCAUUCAAACUUCAGAAUAUAUCCGGUCGACUCCAAGAUGGCUGCUAGUCACAGCAUUUUCAUCAGCAUCAAAGUCACUUUGAUGAAAGGUGUUUUCAGGAGUCCAGUGGCAGGAGGCCGGAGCACCUUGACACUUUCCACGGCCACCUGGUUCCCUGCCCUCCAGUGCUUGCCUAAAACAAUAGACUCUGGGCAUAAGCAGAAUCGUGUCAUUUUGAGUUUUCAGUUUUUGAAUCAUAGCCUUUGUCAAUAUUUGUUUUAACCACCAGAACACUUGAAAACUUAGUAAAAACUUCAUUAAAGAAAAGGUUUCAAAAUGUUUAAAAAGUAGUGUCCAGUUGUAGGUGGUUUUUGCUCUGUCCCUGGAGAUCUCCGUGCUCCCUCUCCUGUUUCUGCUCUCCCUUAAUUGUUCCCUCCACACUCUCCUGUUCUGACAGACCCGUCAUUGGGCGCUCAGCAGUCAGACUCAUGGCUGUUCCUCUGCUACUACUGUAAAAUGUCUGGUUAGGACUCAGGCCAACCUUGACAAUCUAAUGGUGAAGUGGAAUAAAGGACAGAGGAACAGAGAAGGGUCUGCAGGACCCAGCCCUCCUCUGGAGAUGGAGAGGAGCCCUUCCCCCAUCCUACAUGACUCUAGAAUGAGUGCCUUAGAAUAGCAAAAAUAGCUAAGUGCUGAAGUGGGGCAAGAGGAUCGAUCUGCAUUCAAGGCCUGCCUGGGCCAUAACAAGACCUUGUCUCAACACCUGCACACGCACAAAGGCUAAAUAUUAACUGCAUGUGGCUCAGGCCAAAGUCUCUAAGUUGUAAGUUCAUAGGUUUUGUCGGGUGUGUUUAAGUAGCCUCUGGCUUCAGCAAGUGCACCAUAGUUCUCACUUGCUGGGAACAGUGAGCAUGGCCUGUGCUGCCUUGUGCAGAACCGUGCACAUCUGCAUCAAAGGGCGUAGAUUCCUUUUGUCAGGGAAUUUCAGAAUGGAUUUUUAAACAUCAGUCAAGGACAGGUCAGGGUUGGCUGAUCCCACAUGCUUCGACUAUGUGAGGACCUGGCCCAGUCUCCAGCACCUUCACCUCGAGACCUUCAGACAUGGUGAGCCUGCUGUGUUCUGCAAGUCUACCAAAGAUUCUUGUGAAGAGGUUCUCGGCAUCUGUGUGUGCAGACCUGCAUCCCUCCUGCUUCCUUCGUGGCGUUAACUCCAGCCCUUCCAGUUAAUCAUUUAAAGAGGGCUAAGAAGGGACCACCGGCAGCUGGCACAAGCAACUCGGUUCCCUUUGCCAAAACCUCCAAAGUUAGAAAUGGAGUUGUUUGCAUCUGUGGUGAGGGAACUGACUAGCCAUUGCUUCAGCCUCCUUCCCAAGUAAGCACCUUCUUGUGGGUGGCACUGGGAGGACAGUGGUGACCUGCACCACAGAGCCUGCAAGACGUCAUUUGAAUGGAACAUUUGAUAGUCAUUUUUAGGGAACAGAAACCAAAUAACAGAGGCCAAGGACCAUUCGUAUUUCAAGGAGGGAAGAUGAGCGCCCUCUGCUGGCAGUAUUUGGAGUUGAUUGAGUGAGGAGCUCUAAGCAGCCUGGAAGGAGUGCUCUGAGGUCAGCAGGCCUCAGGAAUUCCUAGCAUGCAAACAAUCUUGAGGGGAAACCAGAAGGUCAUUCCUAGCAGUUACUGUAAUACCUCUCAUUGCAGGCUGUUGGAUCUGUGUUCUCUCAGUGUGAUUUAGCUUAUGUAUCUGAUAGUUUUAUGGAUAGUCGUUUGGGCUGUAAACUCCUAUACUCUAUUAAAAUGAACCUAAUUAAGAGACUAA
rnacentral:lncRNA from 1 species